GGGAAGUGAAGGUCCUGCCUGAGUGUCUGGAGGCAGUUGGAGGAUGGAUGGCCGCCGGGACCAUAUAACCAUAUAGACCUGCAUUGGCUCCCGGGUCAUCCAUCCUCCAACCACCUCCAGACACUCAUGCAGGACCUUCACUUCCC